rnacentral:tRNA from 1 species
CGGGGCAUAGCGCAGCCUGGUAGCGCGUCUGUUUUGGGUACAGAAGGUCGUGAGUUCGAUUCUCGCUGCCCCGACCA